rnacentral:sRNA from 1 species
GCCGACAACCAACCCCGAGGCGAAGGAAUCUACUAUCUUGCGAUUAGAUCUUGCCCCUAAGAAUAUGAUUGCUAAAUUCCAUUUGUUCUGAUCCUUCCCUCGGCUACAAUAUCUAUAGUGAUGACACGGCCUUACGCGAGGGUCAAAGAGCAAAGGGAGUGGAGAAGAGAGAAUUAUUCCUGAUAGCCAUCUGGCAGAUGUCAUGUUAUUUGCCCUUCGGCAGAUUGCAUCUUGAGGCUUAGCUGAAUAAUUUGCAAUAACUACUCGUCCUACAAGUAGCGCUUGUAGCCCAUUUUGCGAUGAUGUCGCGAUCGUUCUCACAUAGCUCACUCGUUUAUGCGGUCAUGGACAUGCACACGAUAUAGGGAAGCAAAAACGAGUAGACAUGUCAAUAGUUCUUUGUGAAUAAACACGACGACC